ACGGCUCAGUAACACGUGGAUAACCUGCCCNUNGGGUCCGGCAUAGCCCCGGGAAACUGGGGAUAAUUCCGGAUAACGCACAUAUGCUGGAAUGCUUUAUGCGUAAAAUGGAUUCGUCUGCCCAAGGAUGGGUCUGCGGCCUAUCAGGUAGUAGUGGGUGUAAUGUACCUACUAGCCAACAACGGGUACGGGUUGUGAGAGCAAGAGCCCGGAGAUGGAUUCUGAGACAUGAAUCCAGGCCCUACGGGGCGCAGCAGGCGCGAAAACUUUACAAUGCGGGAAACCGUGAUAAGGGGACACCGAGUNCCAGCAUCAUAUGCUGGCUGUCCAGGUGUGUAAAAUACACCUGUCAGCAAGGGCCNNNCNAGACCGGUGCCAGCCGCCGCGGUAACACCGGCGGCCCGAGUGGUGAUCGUGAUUAUUGGGUCUAAAGGGUCCGUAGCCGGUUUGGUCAGUCCUCCGGGAAAUCUGACGGCUCAACCGUUAGGCUUUCGGGGGAUACUGCCAGGCUUGGAACCGGGAGAGGUAAGAGGUACUACAGGGGUAGGAGUGAAAUCUUGUAAUCCCUGUGGGACCACCUGUGGCGAAGGCGUCUUACCAGAACGGGUUCGACGGUGAGGGACGAGAGCUGGGGGCACGAACCGGAUUAGAUACCCGGGUAGUCCCAGCCGUAAACGAUGCUCGCUAGGUGUCAGGCAUGGCGCGACCGUGUCUGGUGCCGCAGGGAAGCCGUGAAGCGAGCCACCUGGGAAGUACGGCCGCAAGGCUGAAACUUAAAGGAAUUGGCGGGGGAGCAC
rnacentral:rRNA from 1 species